CUUGGACUUUAGACCUAGUUUUGUGCCUAAAACGAGCAGUGAUUUCCUUAAGGAGGUUUCAAUGAUCGGUAAUGUGUCCGAGAGGCUGUCCAAGCUUGACGAUUUUGUUAAGCGAUUGGAGGGAAGAGAUGAGGAAGAUCGAUGCCUUCAAGUGCGAGCUUCCUCUUUGCAUGUUUCCCUUGAAUGAUGCGAUUCUAACUCUGAAGGAAGCUGCAAAAUGCAAUGUGCAGCACCAAAUGUUCAAAAAGAAUUGUGAAAAAAAACAAUGGAGGAAGAGGAACCAAUAACAAUAAGAAAGAAAAGGACUGUAGAGAUAAGAAGAAUUGGAUGAGCUCUGUCCUACUUUAGAACACUGAUAAUUAUUAACAUCCCUCUAGUGAUUUCCCA